rnacentral:rRNA from 1 species
UCCUCUAAUACAGGGAGCUCAUGACGGUACCUGAAGAAUAAGCACCGGCUAACUACGUGCCAGCAGCCGCGGUAAUACGUAGGGUGCAAGCGUUAAUCGGAAUUACUGGGCGUAAAGCGUGCGCAGGCGGUGAUGUAAGACAGUUGUGAAAUCCCCGGGCUCAACCUGGGAACUGCAUCUGUGACUGCAUCGCUGGAGUGCGGCAGAGGGGGAUGGAAUUCCGCGUGUAGCAGUGAAAUGCGUAGAUAUGCGGAGGAACACCGAUGGCGAAGGCAAUCCCCUGGGCCUGCACUGACGCUCAUGCACGAAAGCGUGGGGAGCAAACAGGAUUAGAUACCCUGGUAGUCCACGCCCUAAACAGUGUCAACUGGUUG